GCAGCUUUAUUUGUAACAGACAAAAACCGGAAACAACCAAAUUGUCCAUCAAUAGGUAAAUAAACAAACUGUGGUAUAUCUUAACAAUGGAAUACUUCUCAGCAAUAAAAAGGAAUGAACUGACACAUGCAACAUGGAUGAAUCUCAAAACAAUUACACUUAGUGAAAGAAACUAGACACUCCUAAAAACAAAAAAGUACAUACUAUAGGAUUCCAUUUAUAUAAAAUUCUAAAGAACACAAACUAAUAUAACAGAAAGCGGAUUUAGUGCUUGAUCGAGAAUGGAGAGGAAUUACAAAAUACAGCUCGUGAGGGUGAAGGCUAUAUUGACUAUCUUGAUUAUGAUGAUGGUUUUAUAGGUAUAUACACAAGCCAAAACUUAUGAAACUGUAUUGUUUAAUACAUGCACUUUAUAUGUCAAUUAUACCUCAAUAAAGCUGGAAUUUUUUACUUUAAAAAAACUGUAUCUUUCAGAAAUUUUCUAAAGAUUGGCAAGUACACAUACAGAAUAUUUUUCCUGUUUUACAUGCAAGAUUAUGUAUCUUUUCUUAGUUAACAUAUGCAGAAGUCUACAUUUCUAUAGUAGCAGAAAUGUUUUUUAUCUCAUUUUUUAAAAAUAGUGUACAUAACAAGGAUGUACCAUGACUGAUGGGCAUUUUAGGUUAUUUCUAAUUUGCUAUUAUAAUGCUGAAAUGAGCAUAUUCUGCAUAUAUUUGUGAGCAUAUAUACACACUAAAGGAUACAUGUUUUUUAUUUUUUUUUAAGAUUAUAUUUAUUUAUUCAUGAGAAACACACAGAGAGGCAGAGACACAGGCAGAGGGAGAAGAAGACUCCAUGCAGGGAGCACGACAUGGGACUUGAUCCCGGAACCGCAGGAUCACACCCUGAGCUUCAGCUCAACCGCUGAGCCACCCAGGCGCCCCAGAAUACAUGUGUUUAAAACUUUCAUUUAUGCUGUCUAAAAAAGCCUGUCUCAGGGUACCUAGCGACUCUUGAUCUCAGGGUUUUAAGUUGGAGCCCUAUGUUGAGUGUAGAGAUUACUUAAAAUCUUAAAAGAAAAAAACUUGUCUCAGAAUCUACAUCAAACUGUUGGGAUUAAUAAUUUAACAAGGUCAUGGAAUACAAGAUAAUAUACAGUACUCAAAAUUAAAUAGCAAUGAUAUGAAAAUGAAAAAACUUAAAUGCUAUUUAAAAUAACAUCAAAGGGAUCCCUGGGUGGUGCAGCGGUUUGGCGCCUGCCUUUGGCCCAGGGCGCGAUCCUGGAGACCCGGGAUCGAAUCCCACAUCGGGCUCCCGGUGCAUGGAGCCUGCUUCUCCCUCUGCCUGUGUCUCUGCCUCUCUCUCUCUCUCUCUCUGUGACUAUCAUAAAUAAAUAAAAAAUAAAAAUAAAAUAAAAUAAAAUAAAAUAACAUCAAAAAUUAAAAACCUAGGAAUAAGGCCAACAAAAGGUAUCAGACCUCUACAAAGAAAACCACAUUAUUGAAGAAAAAUUGAUCUAAAGAAUGGAGGAAUACACUAUGUCCAUAGUUCAAAAGACAUAAUUGUGUAAAGAUAUUACUUCUCCCCAGAUUUGAUAAAAUGCUUAUCAAAAUCCCAGCAGGUUUUGUUGCUGCUGUUCCUAAUAUUGAAAUGGAUAAGCCAAUUCUAAAAAAUAUAUGGAAAUGCAAAGAGCCAAGAAUAACCAAUACUAUCUUGAACAAAAAGAGGGACGCCUGGGUGGCUCAGUGCCUGAGCGUCUGCCUUCAGCUCAGGUCGGAGCCUGCUUCUCCCUCUGCCUGUGUCUCUGCCUCUCUCUCUGUGUCUCUCAUGUAUACAUAAAAUCUCUAAAAACAAAAACAAAAACAAAAAACAAAAAGCUACAGGACUCACAUUACCAGAUAUUGAAAAUAGAAUUGCAGUGGCACCAAGACAAAUAGACCAAUCAAACAAUAUGUGGUGCUGGCUCUUUUGAAUAUCUGUACAGCAAAGUGUUAGUUUUAACAUCUCCCUACUACCAUAUACAAAACAAAUUCUAGAUGAUUCUAGAUCUAAGUAUGAUAGGUCAAACAAUGCUUCCAGAAAAAUAACAUGAAAGAUAAUGAUAUGCAAACAUUUCUUAAAUAAAACAUGUAAAACACUUACCUUAAAGGAAAAUAUGGAUAAAUUAGACUACACUAAAAUUAAGAUGUUUGUCAAAAGACAUGGAUAUAAUGAAAAAGCAGGGCACAGAAUAUAGAAGAUAAUUGCAGUUAACAACUCCAAAAACAUACUCUAUUCCUAAUAUAUAAAGAUUUCCUACAAAUCAAUAAGCAAAUGACAACAGGCAAAAGUGGGCAUUUAAAAAAAGAGGACAUUCAAAUGUCCAGUAAACAUAUUUUAGUGCUCAGUCUCAUUAGUCAUCAAGAAAAUGCCAAUUAAAUCCAGAAUUAGAUUCCACAACAUACCCACCGGAAGACUACGACUAAAAACAGUGACCAUACCAAGUACCAGUGAGGAUGUGGAGCAACUAAGAUUCUCCUACAUUGCUGGCAAGACUAUAAAACAGGACAACUACUUUGGAAAACGGUUUUGUAAUUAUCUAUGAAAGCUGAACAUAUGUAUCCCCCACUACCCAGUAAUUCCAUUCUCAGGUAUAUAUGCCAAAAGAGAUGUACAAGAAUGUCCAUAAUAUUACUGGUAACAUCCUAAAAUUUAAAAUAAUUCUAAUUGAUAGACUAGAUAGUUGUAUAUUAAUACAACAGAAUACUAUAUAGCCAUGAAAACACAUGGAAUGAUCUCACAUAAUACUGAGGGGUAAAAAUUCUGUAUGAUUCCUUGUAUAUCAAGAUCAAAAACGGGCGAAACUAACUGAAGGCAAUAAUCAAAUUGGCUUCAGUUGGAGUUAGGGAGUAAUUACAUGACUGAGAAGGGGUCAUGAAGGAGUCUUCUAGGAUGCUGGUCUUGUUCUAUUUCUUGAUGUGACUGAGGGUUAAACAGUGUAUUCUCUUUGUGGAAGUUCAUUAAGCUGUAUGUUUUUUAUGUAUUUUCUUUUUACUUGAACAUAAAACUUAAAGAAUGCCAACAGUAUAUGACAAUGUUUCUCUACAUCUUCACAAUCUAAUCUUUGCCAAUUACAAUUAGAGUAUUUACCUAGGCAAAAUUAGCAUCUCUUAAAUGUUCUGGCUCACAUCUUAAUGAGGAACAAAGCUUAGUGGGGGGGGAAAUGCUCUUCAAUUUCUUCUGAGAAUUCCAUCAAAAACAAAUUCUAAGGGGACUCAGCAGUUUAUUGUGGCCUGUUAUCAUGGCUACAAAUAUGUUAUUAAUGGGAAAGCGUUAGAUGCUGUAAUAAGCCCCAUCCCAAAUGUACAAGCACCAGAAUUUUAAAUGCGAAAAGACAGGAUUGGGGGGGGGGGGGCGGGGGAAGACCAGAAACAAGCAAUAUAGGAUGGAAGCCUGAAUGCCAGGAGUUUCAGCACAAUUGG
rnacentral:lncRNA from 1 species